AAAAAAAAAAUAAACCUCAACCAUCGUAUUUCAAAAACAAGAGUACCCUAUACUUCACGGAUACACCCAUAACUAUACCAAGAAACAGCUUGUUGAUUAAAAAGCAUGGAACUUUACCUGGUUGGUACAUCUCAAUUACUCUUAAGUGGCAUGAAGGCAUGAGGUAACCAACAAAACUAUAAAAACUAUUUUUUUUAAGAAAACAAAAAGGGUCAGUCUCAUUUUGUUUACUUAAAUCCUAAGUUUAAUCAUGACCUAUCAAAAUCUUAUCAUGGCUCAUUGUAUAAAAUUAGCACCGCACUUGCAAGCAUAAGCAGAAUUUAGACUUAUCAAACAUAUGGUGAGGCUUGCCUAGCUUCUGAAAAAUUGAGAAUGCAGGAUUAAAAUGUUUUUAGUUGGGUAACAAAACUCACCGAUCCUGCUUAGAAGUUCUCAUCAAAAAUUUGAUUAAGAGAACCUCUUAAAAUUUUAAAGCGCCCAGUAAUUAAAACUUGGAAAUAAACGGAAACGGUUUAAAUAUAAAUCCUUCAUCUUCAGAAGCUACAGCUAACAAGCAAAUACCUAAAAUAGAAAAUAAUAAUAUUAACCACAAAACUACUAAACAGAGGCACAGGCUGGUUUACCAGCUAACUUUUCUGGCCCUAGACCAGAGAGACAUCAAAGUUGACAAUGGAAUCAACCAUGAGCUUUGCCUGUAAACUGGACGAUAAUCUGAAAAACUUCUCUGUUGCUAACAGAAGCUCCUUUUAAUGAGAAGCAGCGACUGACAGGUGGAAAAAUACAUUCUAACAGGGCAGCAAGAGGUUGUGAAAACACGGUUCAAGGACUGAACGUGUUGUGACUGCUCUGUAACAGGUCCAAGGUAAUUUACGCACACACCCUUCAGCGCAAUUCCUCAAGCAGAGAUAAGAUUGGGAAACAACAGGCUUCGCCGAGAGCUACAUACCAUGUUAAAACAGCCGUCUCCCUCUCGACAGGAAAACAGACAUUCUCUCCUCCGAAGUCUUUCCGCGAGUUCUCCCAGCGCCGCGAAGGGAAGCGGGCGGGGGACGCGGAGCGGCGGAUCACAUUUCUCCUCCCCAACAAUCACACGCACUCACGUCCCUCGAGUUGACACCCUCCGGACCCGCCGCCCGACGACGCUGGGGACUGGGCCACAAAGCCAGGGACGCAGCCAUCGGCCGCGGCGCUCAAGUUGCGUGCGUGCGUGUGUUUGUGUUUGUUCCCCUUAAUGAAAGACAAGAGGUCUCCGUAGUGACGGCCCAGGCUGCGGGGAGGGAAGAGCCCCCCCCACCCCC
rnacentral:lncRNA from 1 species